UAUAACAUGGGAUUAGAUACCCGUCUAUUCUUGACAUAAACCAAAGUCGAAUAUUACGAUCUACAGAUUAAAAUUCAAAGAUCUUGGCGGUGUCUUAUAUAAUCAGGGGAACCUGUCUCAUAACUCGAUAAUCCACGACAUUACAACCAUAUUUAGAAUCCAGCCUGUGUACUGCCGUCGUAAGUAUACCUCUAAAAGAAAGUAUACAAUCAUAAUGAAUAAUUAUAUACGUCAGGUCAAAGUGCAGCCAAUAAUAUGGAGAUGAUGGGUUACAACAUAAAAAAGUAUAACGAAUUAAGGAUAUAGUAACCUCAUGAAGGAGGACUUGAUAGUAAUUAAUUGAACAGAUUAAUGAAAAAAUAUCUAAGACAUGCACACAUCGCCCUCACUUUGCUCGGACA
rnacentral:rRNA from 1 species